GGGGAAUCUUCCGCAAUGGGCGAAAGCCUGACGGAGCAAUACCGCGUGAGGGAGGAAGGCUCUUGGGUUGUAAACCUCUUUUCUUAGGGAAGAACACAAUGACGGUACCUAAGGAAUAAGCAUCGGCUAACUCCGUGCCAGCAGCCGCGGUAAUACGGAGGAUGCAAGCGUUAUCCGGAAUGAUUGGGCGUAAAGCGUCCGCAGGUGGCUCUGUAAGUCUGUCGUUAAAGAAUGAGGCUCAACCUCAUAAGGGCGAUGGAAACUACAAGGCUAGAGUACGUUCGGGGCAGAGGGAAUUCCUGGUGUAGCGGUGAAAUGCGUAGAUAUCAGGAAGAACACCGGUGGCGAAGGCGCUCUGCUAGGCCGUAACUGACACUGAGGGACGAAAGCUAGGGGAGCGAAUGGGAUUAGAUACCCC
rnacentral:rRNA from 1 species